AGUCGAGCGGCAGCGGGUCCUUCGGGAUGCCGGCGAGCGGCGGACGGGUGAGUAAUGCCUAGGAAUCUGCCUGGUAGUGGGGGAUAACUCGGGGAAACUCGAGCUAAUACCGCAUACGUCCUACGGGAGAAAGCGGGGGAUCUUCGGACCUCGCGCUACCAGAUGAGCCUAGGUCGGAUUAGCUAGUUGGUGAGGUAAAGGCUCACCAAGGCGACGAUCCGUAGCUGGUCUGAGAGGAUGAUCAGCCACACUGGAACUGAGACACGGUCCAGACUCCUACGGGAGGCAGCAGUGGGGAAUAUUGGACAAUGGGCGAAAGCCUGAUCCAGCCAUGCCGCGUGUGUGAAGAAGGUCUUCGGAUUGUAAAGCACUUUAAGUUGGGAGGAAGGGCAGUAAGUUAAUACCUUGCUGUUUUGACGUUACCGACAGAAUAAGCACCGGCUAACUUCGUGCCAGCAGCCGCGGUAAUACGAAGGGUGC
rnacentral:rRNA from 1 species